rnacentral:rRNA from 1 species
UGGGGAAUUUUGCACAAUGGAGGAAACUCUGAUGCAGCGACGCCGCGUGAGUGAUGAAGAUCUUCGGAUUGUAAAACUCUGUCCUUAGUGAAGAUAAUGACAGUAACUAAGAAGCAAGCCCUGGCUAAAUACGUGCCAGCAGCCGCGGUAAUACGUAUGGGGCAAGCGUUGUCCGGAAUUAUUGGGCGUAAAGGGUACGUAGGCGGUUUAAUAAGUCCUAAUUAAAAGGCUAUGGCUCAACCAUAGUAUGGUUAGGAAACUGUUGAACUUGAGUAGAUGAGGGGAAAGUGGAAUUCCAUGUGUAGCGGUGAAAUGCGUAGAUAUAUGGAGGAACACCAAUGGCGAAGGCAACUUUCUGGAAUCAAACUGACGCUGAGGUACGAAGGCGUGGGGAGCAAACAGG